UGAUAACUGUAUAGUUAUUUUUAAAAAUAUCUCACCUCCCUAAAUUAAAUACUUUGUCUAAAUGUUUUACUACACCUACUUAGCACAAAACCACUUUGAUUGUUUAAAGAAAGAGAUUUACUUCUUAUUAGAGUAUCUUGUACCAGACUUUUUUCAUUAUUCUUUUGGACAGGAGUGUGGAAGAUCAGCUGUCAGUGCUCAGUUCUUCCAAGCAUUCAGCUUGCCCAUUUUCAGGAGUGACAUUCACUUUCUUCCAAUGUGGAACCUUAUUUACCAUCCUGAGAUUUAAUCAAAACUAUCUUCAGUGGUGAAGAUCUAUUAAGGCCAACUUUGGAGAACUCAGCUUUGCGAAACUGUACCAUUUCCAAGCACAUGGUGUACAUACUGUUAGCAAAACCAAUUUGACCUGAAAGCAGUUGGAAAGUAACUGAAAUCACAGCAGAGAACAGCAGUCCAGUUAAUCAGGCAGAUAUGGGAUCCAAAAUGAGGCAACAUUGUGUUGGGAGCUUUUAUGUUAAUUUGUCAUUUUUAAAAUCCCCAGUAACAGUUUUUGGCUGGCUGUAUAGCACUGUCAACAAAUCUUUUAACCCACCCUCUUCUUCUCUGUCUCCACAAGUCUAGAACAGGUAACUGUCUACUUCUGUAUUAGCCUUCCUGGAGAAACAUUGCUUUUGUAGUUAGGUAGUAUGUUCUGUCAGCUUUUAGAAGUGCUAAAACCCAUCAAGGGCAUUUUUUUUUGCUUUCCUUGCAUAUUUCCUAACUAUCUUACACUACUGAAAGUUUAGUUCAUUCUUGUCCGUUACUGGCUCAAUUUUUAUGACUCUCACAGAAUGACGACACUAAAUCCUCACAUUUUUCAGAUCAUAUUAUUAAAUUAAUGUCCUGCAGAUGGCUCCAAUUAAUCACCCAAAAAGCCCACAAAGCCCCACAGCUUCAGGUUACAACUCGUUACAUUUGUAAAACACCCCGCUUCCAAAGAAGUUUACUUCCCUGUACAAAAAGCUUUAACUGCAUUCCGUGGUUUUGAACUAGACAUUCGUCCUUGGUAUUUCUUAUUUCUCUCAUGAGAGAGAAUUAUCUCCGUUAUUAAUUUUUCCACAUCUUGACCUAUAAGCAUUUUCAAACAAACAUUAGUUAAUAGUGUGAAUGAGUUGCCCAAACCUUUACAUGUAGCAUUUAUAUUUGAAAUAUUAAUAUAUAAAAGGCACUAAGGAUCUUCAAGAUUUGAGUUCCCUUUUCUCUAAAUAAUCACUAACUAGGCUAUGUGAGUUUUAAAAAAUAUAUUAGAUCAGAUUGGACAUUAAGUUUGAGAGGAGUGACUCAUCAAAAGUCAAAUGUCAACUAGAUGACAGAAAGGGCUUGUAUAAGUGUUCACUGAAAACUUAGGAGUCUAUCUUUCACUGCUCUCUAAUGGGAGGCUGCAACUUAGCAACUUAAUGAUUAUGCUGCAGAGGCUCAGCCAGAAAGGAGGAUCCCCCCAAAAUAAUUAGUGCCCUAAACUUUUUUCUUGAUAUUACUCUAAGUUUACAAUCACUAACAGAGAUUGAAAGUAGCCAAGUUUAAGUCUUAUCUGCAUUUUUAUCAUCCGUGAAACACAAAGAACAAUUUCAUAAACAUAUAGUUUCAAAACACACUGGUAAAGUCCUAUUACAUGCUUAAUCCAGAAACCAUACAUGGCGCAAGGAUAAAACAUAAAACAAACACCUCUAAAACCCAGUUAUGCAUAUGGAAGUUUUAAAAAUGUUGUGAUGAAACAUAAGGUGCCAGUCCUACAAUAUUAAAGCUCCUAAAGCUGGUAAUUUCAAAUAGAACAAUUCAGGAUUAGCUUCACGUUACAAAAAAACAAAUCUGUCCUUGGUAACAGAAAAACAAACAAGCUUUUGUAAUACAAUCCACCCCAUGAGACUUAGCUUUAGCUUCUACGUAACGUGGUUCAUCCUCAACACAGAAACCAUCCAGAACUGGUGACAUAUUGUCUGUAAGGUAUAUUAAAUUCAACAGCUACUACAGCAUCGAUCAACCAACCAACUAAUCUGAGAGCUGUCUGCUUAUGCAACUGAUACAAAGGCACUUCGUAAUAGUGGGUUAAAUUUCCUACUGGAAACAUCAAAAAAAAAAAAGAAAGGAGAAACAUUGAUAUGAAUUCAUCUCAAACCCAUUUUACAGACACUUCUCCCCAACACUUGCAGGGAAUGGAUUCCUGUGGAAGUCUCAAAUAGGACAGAAGUAAACUCUAGCAUGCAAAGAGAAAUCCAGAACCACAUGUUCUUAUCUAAA